rnacentral:rRNA from 1 species
UACGGGGGGAGCAAGCGUUGUUCGGAUUUACUGGGCGUAAAGGGCGCGUAGGCGGCCUCUGCAAGUCAGUUGUGAAAUCUCCGAGCUUAACUCGGAAAGGUCAACUGAUACUGCGGGGCUAGAGUGCGGAAGGGGCAACUGGAAUUCUUGGUGUAGCGGUGAAAUGCGUAGAUAUCGAGAGGAACACCUGCGGCGAAGGCGGGUUGCUGGGCCGACACUGACGCUGAUGCGCGAAAGCCAGGGGAGCGAACGGG